UCGGCGCCGGAAGGCCGCGGCGGCCCCGCACAGGCGCGGUGCCCGCGCGGCGGCGGCCCUGGGCGCAGGGUUCUUCCGCAGUUCUUAGGUAAACAAUGAGGGUUCUGUUAUUGAAGGAUCCCAAAGACAAAGAUUCAGGACCAGAUCCAUAUAUUAAAGAGUUAGGAUUAUAUGGAUUUGAAGCAACUUUGAUUCCUGUUUUGUCAUUUGAAUUCAUAUCGCUUGAAAGCUUAUUUGAAAAGCUUUCUCAUCCAGAAUGUUAUGGAGGCCUAGUUUUUACCAGCCCAAGAGCAUUAGAAGCCAUCAAGAUAUGUUUAAAAGAGAACAGUAAAAGUGAAGCCUGGUCCAAAUCUCUUAAACAAAGAUGGAAAGCCAAAAAAGCAUAUGUGGUAGGAAAAGCUACAGCUUCUUUAGUGGAAGAAAUUGGCCUUGCUCCACAAGGAGAAAAGUCUGGAAAUGCUGAAAAAUUAGCUGAAUUUAUUUGCUCAAGAGAGAAACCUAAUUCAUCAUCUCUUCUUUUUCCUUGUGGAGCCCUCAAAAGAGAAGUACUUCCUACAGUACUUAAAGAAAAAGGUAUACCUCUGGAAAGUCUUACUGUUUAUCAGACUACCCAACACGCUGAUCUCCAAGAAUCACUGAGCAGUUAUUUCUCACAACAGGGAAUUCCAGCAAGCAUCGUGUUUUUCAGUCCGUCUGGUGUCAAGUUUUGCCUCCAGCACAUUCAGAAGCUUUCUGGGGAUUCUAUCAGCCACAUGAAGUUUGCUGCUAUAGGUCCAACAACUGCUGAAGCAAUGGAAGCAGCAGGAGUCACAGUUAGCUGUAUUGCAGAGAAUCCAACUCCCCAAGACCUCGCUGCUGGGAUACAAAGAGCACUUCACCAACAGAACUGCUGUUAAUCCAAAUAGGAGCACAGCAUGUAUUUGAGACUGAAUAUAAUGCUGUAAAAGCUUUUUUCAUUUGCAGAUAUGCUGUCCUGCUGGAAAGUAUGUUCCACAAAUACGCAGCACAGUUCUUGUGAGGGCUUGGUGUAAGCAGCUUGCAGUUAAAUGCUUAAGAGGAGCAGCAUGUCUUUUUGGUACAGCGUAUCUUAAAGCAACUAGCUUUUCCCCUUUUGCUAAUGCCUGCGAGUGUAAAUACUUUACGUGGGUAUUUCUGUGAAAACUAGUUGUGAAAGGCUGAUGUGCAUCAGGGUAGUAUGAUGAAAUUAAGUCCAAUAUAUCACCUCAGGUACCUAGUACAUAAAGUGAGAUUUUUUUUUUUAAUCUUUCAGUAGUCCUUUUUGCAUGCAGGUCUUCUGGUUUAUGUAAAAGAAUACCACACUUGGAAGGAAAUAUUUGUGGUUGCAAAGCUUAAUUGUUCUGUUAUGUUUUUCAGAUAUUUAUAUUAUAAUGAUGAUCAUAGAUUCGCAGUGGAAUAGGAUAAUUCUUGCAGCACUUGACUUACAGAGUGGUUCAACUCCUUGAGCUGAAAUAGAAUUUCAGAAGUAUACUAAGGGCUGGCAGAUCUGCUCCCUCCCCCUCCCUGCUGUGCUGAAAUGCCUCACAAGGAGCAGUCCUAAAGUUGCUCUAAAAAAUAAUGGAUUUUUUAAUCAGUUGAAAAAGAAAAGUCAGUCCUCUAAGACACUAGAAUUACUAUGGCAACCGGAUGUAGCUGCAGGACUCUGAAGACAUGUCCCCAGGGAGAGAAGGAAGAGAAUGAUUAGGAAGCAAUUGCUGACCUCUGUCACUUUGUUUUUAAGACAACUGCACAUGCAGCAAGUCAAGCAGUUUAACAUUCAGAUUGAAUUGGGUAGUGUCAUUCUAACAAAGAACAUGCAAUGUUGUUCAUCUCUUUAUUCGAAAAAGAAUCUACAGCAGAUUGAGAUUUGGAAAUGUCUUCAAGUCCCCUGAAGUACCACUCAUAUCUCUAGAGUCUGAAAUACAUGACAGCUUGGAGAAGAUUUGUGAAAGCUAGUGCCUGGGGGCAGGAGAAGAAAGGGAGAGAGGGUCAAGGGGCGACAAGAGCAAGAACUGGAAACAGAAGCCGUUCGUAUUUACUUGUGCUCCCUUGCACUAGUUAAGUAUUCAAACAAACAAAGAAAAAGAAUGUAUCAAGAGGAACAAGUGGAAACCAUUAUACCACCAGAACAUCCUUUUACCAAUAAAGUUCAUUCUUAUCAGGGACGUGUUUUAAGAUAGAUGGCAAA